AACCUCCGCAAUGGGCGAAAGCCCGACGGGGUUAGUCCGAGUGGCCCCUGCUGAAGGGGCCUUUUGCCAGCUGUAAAAAGGCUGGCGAAUAAGGGGUGGGCAAGUUUGGUGUCAGCCGCCGCGGUAAUACCAGCACCUCGAGUGGUGGCCGAUAUUAUUGAGUCUAAAGGGUCCGUAGCCGGCUUGGUAAGUCUUUUAGGGAAAUCCAGCGGCUUAAUCGUUGGGCGUCCAUUAGAUACUGCCUUGCUUGGGACUGGGAGAGGUAGGAGGUACUCAAGGGGUAGGAGUGAAAUCCUGUAAUCCUUUGGGGACCACCGGUGCGAAGGCGUCCUACCAGAACAGGUCCGACGGUGAGGGA
rnacentral:rRNA from 1 species